rnacentral:rRNA from 1 species
AACGAACGCUGGCGGCAGGCUUAACACAUGCAAGUCGAACGGGUGCAGCAAUGCAUCAGUGGCAGACGGGUGAGUAACACGUGGGAACCUUCCUAGGGGUACGGAACAACUCAGGGAAACUUGAGCUAAUACCGUAUACGUCCGUAAGGAGAAAGAUUCAUCGCCCCUAGACGGGCCCGCGUCGGAUUAGGUAGUUGGUGGGGUAACGGCCUACCAAGCCUACGAUCCGUAGCUGAUCUGAGAGGAUGAUCAGCCACACUGGGACUGAGACACGGCCCAGACUCCUACGGGAGGCAGCAGUGGGGAAUCUUGGACAAUGGGCGCAAGCCUGAUCCAGCCAUGCCGCGUGAGUGAAGAAGGCCUUAGGGUUGUAAAGCUCUUUUACCAGGGACGAUAAUGACGGUACCUGGAGAAUAAGCCCCCGGCAAACUUCGU